rnacentral:rRNA from 1 species
AUGGAUGCGGUGGAUGAAGGACUCCGGCUGGCUCUUCACUGGUCGAACUUGCCACUGACUAUGGAAAUUGAUUGUGCCAAACUGCUGCAACUGAUUCCGUCGAGGGAUGUUGGUAGAUCACGGUACGCAUAUCAAGUUAGUGAGAUCAGAAUGAUUCUGGUCCAAGAAAGGAACAUUAGUUUAGCUAAGAUUAGUCGGCAUACUAAUGCUGCUAGCCACACCCUUACUUGUAUGGGAUGGGUGCAACAGCAAACAGCUUGUUGGCUUCGAAACUUCCCUAAUGAGAUAGCUAGCAUAGUCAAGUCUGAAUGUAAGCAUCUCUCUUGCUUAAUGAAAGUUCCUUCUCCCGCAAAAAAAUAA